UUCCGAGUGGCGUGACGAAGGGACGUCACUUUUACGUAACUCGUACGCAUUUCCGCUUCCGUGCGGAAGAAAAUGAUGCAUUUUAAGCUUCAACUGAGUCCCUAAGUGUUUUUUUUUUUAGCGAUAUAGCAAAUAUUUGCGAAAGUGAAAAUAGGCAACUGUGGAAAACAUUGAUAUAGGUAUAAAGUCAUAUAAAUCAGCCUGUUAUCUUGUAUUUUGAUGCUGUUUCCCUGCUGUUGAGUGACUUGUUCACUCAACUUCUGUGCUUAGAGUCAUAUUUAUGCUCGAGGUUAGAUGUUCAUAUCUAUUAUUCUGAGGAAUUUUCCAUGUUAUUGAUUUAAUCUCCUUAUAACGUACUUCUUGGCUCAGAAAGGCACUAUAGAAGGACUCCUGUAACCGGAGAGAGAGAGAAACUGAUAUAACUGGUGGAGCUCCCGAGACAUGCACGCACACCCCGACACCCAUACACAUGGCACAAAGCGUGAACUUGAAGCUGCAAGUCUGGGAUGGACCAAUUUUCUGUUGUUCUUCCGUUUUUGUUGUGUUUUUUUUUAACUGCGCUUAAAAUGUGGACCGAAUAAAUGAAAGCCUGGAGCUCAGCUAAAAAUUCCGACUGCCUCCAAAGUCUUUCUCCACACUCUACAGUGGUUCUACAGUGGUGCCGAAAGUGCCGACGCUUCCGGUCGCUGCAGCUUCACGAAGUUGGCCACCUCUAUGUGCAGCAGCUGAGGGACUCCUGUCUCCGGCAGUUGAUGGUAGAGGAGUGAGAGGUGGAAGAGAUCAUCGAGCUGGUGUAACUGGCGCAAUUUCUCUCUCGAAUCCCAACAGGAAUGGCAGAGAGGGUCCAGUGCCUUGGACCCGCAUCCCUGGACAAAGCUGUAUAGCUGGCGGAGGAUCACUUGGUGGCAGCUCCUGCUCCAGGCGUCCUUGGUCUUUCUCGCACUCUCUCUUCCUGUCCUCUCGCAUCAGAACUGAGGUGCUGGGGCCCGGAAACCAGCACCGCGGACCCAGUUCCCACCUUGCUUUUCCUCCCCUGCCUCUCUAACGUCUCCCUAUGCUCUGUCUCUCUCCCCACAGGGGGAACAUCCUGUGCCCAGCAGAGCUAUGGCAAAGCCCAGGCAGGUGUGUUGGUACUGGGGGGAAGCCGAGUAUUUCCAGGAUCAAUGUUCCCGCAUGGAGGUGGGAACUCUGAUCCAGAUACCUGACGUGCCUCAGGCUUCCCCGCGAUCGAGCAGGAAUGUACCAUUACCAGUGAGUAUACAAGGGAGUACACAUCAGGCCUUGGUGGACUCGGGGUGUAAUCAGACCUCAGUCCACCAAAGCCUGAUUCAGUGUGAGGCUUUGGGAAGUGCAUAUUUGGUGAAGUUAAGGUGUGUGCAUGGGGAUAUUCACGAGUAUCCGCUAGUGCCAAUCAUCAUUAAAUUCUGGGGGCAAAAGCAUAAAGUGGAGGCAGUGGUUAGUCCGCGCCUCACCCAGCGACUAAUUCUUGGGACAAAUUGGCCAGGGUUUCAGGCAUUAGUGAGAGAAAUGUUUGUGGAUGGGUCCUGCAGUAGCGAGGCACAGUGUGGAAUGUGGCACCUUUGGUUAGGGAGGUGGUGCUGGGGCCAUUGACUUCAUCUCCACAUCAGGGGGACACGGAGGGUGUGGAGUGCUCUGCCCCUCCACCCUAGGCAGGGGAGCAGGUGUGUGACAAGACCCUGAGGCACGAUCUCGACCAAGUGAGAGUAAUUGAUGGUCAACAAAUCCAACCUUAUAUUGUGCUAACCCACACUUUUAUAUUGAGUGAUGCAGGACACUCAAAAUAAGGAAGAGACGGCCCAGUUGUUGGUACCAAAGAGCAGUAGGGAACUUCUUUUUUGUGCAGCUGACCAUAAUCCCAUGGCUGGGCAAUAUCUCAGCGUUGCAGAGGCACUCUUCCAUGUUAUCUCCCAAGUCGGGGUCCCAAAAGAGCGUGACUGAAGAGGGCACACUCUUUUUGUCAAGUAUUAUUCAUGAACUGUACGAAUUAUUGGGGAUUAAAUUGAUUCGCACCACUGUUUACCAUCUGCAGACAGAUGGGCUGGUCGGACAGUUGAAUCAAAAGAUUAAAAAUAUGAUUUGUACGUUCGUUCACAGUAAUGCUCAGAAAUGGGAUAAGUGGUUUGAAUCUUUGUUGUUUUCAGUGUGAGAGGUCCCACAACCCUCCAGAGGGUUUUCCUCAUUUGAAUUAUUGUACGGGCACAAGCCUUGUGGCAUCUUAGACGUCAUUAAGGAAAAUUCAAAGGAGGGAUGCUCUGACAGCAAAAGCAAAAUUCAGUACAUUCUGGACCUGAGAGCAAAACUCCACACCUUAUGUCACCUAACAUAGGAGAAUUUGCAUUAGGCCAGAGAAUGACAAUCCCAAAUGUAUGACAGGGGUACUCUAUGCUAUGGGAAUUUGCACCAGGAGAUAAAGUACUUGUUUUACUACCCACGUCGAGCUCUAAAUUAUUCACAAAGUGGCAAGGACCCUUUGAGGUCACAAGGCGAGUCAGAGUUAGUCGACUGUGAGGUCAGGUGAACGGAUAGAGGUGAUGCACGUCAAAUAUAUCACCUGACUCUGAUAAAUCUGUAGAGAGAAGUGGUCUCUGUGGCUCUGGCAAUGGUGGUUCCAGAGAGGGAGGAGCUGGAACUGGAUGUAUGUCUAAAAAGUGUGGCCCAAUUCACCCUGGUCCCCUGUGGACACCACCUCUCACUGUCCCAGAGAGCACAAGUUGCCAGGUUGCAAGGGGAAAUUUCUGAUGUGUUUUCGCCUCUACCCGGUCGCACAGACCUCAUAGAGCACAACCUCCAGGUGUGGUUGUUUGCAGCUGCCCCUAGUGGUUACCUGAGCAUACACACACAAAAAAAAAUGUGGCUAUGCUCGACAUGGGAGUAAUCAAGGAGUCCUACAGCCAUUGAAGCAGUCAUAUGUCAAUAUGGUGUGUAAAUUUGACGUAUACCUGAUGCCUUGCAUUGACGAACUGCUCGAUUGCUUAGGCUCACUUUUAUUCCACACUGAACUUAACCAAGGGGUAUCGGCAGAUUCCCUUGACUCCAAUAUCUCGGGAAAACAGCCUUUUCCACUCAGUUCGGAUUACACCAAUUUGUCACCCUUCCAUUUGGGUUGUUUGGAGCCCCAGCGAUGUUUCAAUGUCUCACAGACAGAAUACUCAGCCCACAGGAUGCAUAUGCCGCUGCUUAUUUAGAUGACAAUCAUUUAUAGUAACAGUUGGCAGCGGUGUUUACUGAGGGCUGUCCUGAGAUCCUUUAGAUGGGGAGGACUCACAGCAAACCCAAAGAAGUGUGCAGUUGGAUGGGUGUAAGUACGGUAUCUGGGCUUCCACUUGGGCCAUGGGCAGGUACAUCCUGAAAUUGAUAAGACAGCGAUUGCGGCCUACCCGAGAUCCAAACCAAAAAGGGGGGUGAAGCAGGUCCUGGGGCUGGCUGGCUAUUAUCAGAGGUUUGUGCCUAAUUUUUCAGACUGUCACCAGCCCUCUGACUGACUUCACUAAAAAAGGAAGCACCAGAUCCGGUCCAUUGGAUGGAGUUGGGCGAGCAGGCUUUCUGCCAGGUAAAAGCGAUUUUGUGUUUGGGCCCACUGUUGCAUUCUCCUGACUAGUCUUUUCCAUUUGUUCUGCAUACUGACACAUAGGAAAGAGGGCUGGGGGCCCUUAUGUCACAGGCGGUGGAGGGGGAGGAGUGUCCUGUGCUGUACAUCAGCUAGAAGCUGUCAGUAAGGGAGACCAAGUACAGCAUGAUCGAAAGGAAUGUCUGGCCAUCAAGUGGGCGGUCCUCACCCUCCGUUCCUCUGUUCUGAUCAUGCCCUGCUCCAAUGUCUCCACCGCAUGAAGGAUGAAGGAUCACUCAUUGGUAUCUGGCUCUUAAGCAGAUGAUGGUGGUGGCAGAUUACCUCUCCCGUCACGGGGGGAGUCAGCUGCAGGCCAGACGGCUCCCAAGCCUGAGUCGGGCAGUGGGGGUAUGUGGCAGCGGGGUGUUGUCCAGUGUCAGCUAGGGAUGGCGUGGAGGCAGGUCGAACUGGCAGGUAAGGAGUGAUGAUGCUCACCUGUGUCUUAUAACCGCCAGUCUACUUAUUUGUGUCUCUGUGCUUUCAGGGACUCCCAAAAUGAGUGAGAGAGAGUGAUAUAGCUAGUGGAGUUGACGAGACAUGCAUACACACACACCAUGGGGCGUGAACUUGAACCUGGUGGAGUUAAAGCUGCUUAUGUUAAGUUUUUUGAAAGUGCUCUGUAAAGCACAGAUUGAAUAAAUGCAAGCCCGGAGCUCGGCUAAAAUUCUGCCUGCCUCCUGAGUCUUCCUCCACACCCUCACAAACUGGGGUUCUAUAUCGGUAUAUUAUAAUAAUUAAUACUUAAUAACAGCAAUAAAAUAUGUAUUGGCAGACAGUAUUGUUCACACAGGCCAUGGGCUGGUUCCUGCCUCAGCCAUCAGCUCCAGACAGUGACGAGGAGGAGGAUCCCGAAAAAACCGCUGCACGCCGGAGCCAGGUGUCCAUUCCUAUGGAUCCUGGUAACAUGCACUCAGAUAAACUGAAUGGAAAGACCCAGGUGUACUGUUCAGUGUUUUCUAAUAUUUUUUUGACAGAGCUCGGCAGAGCUCAGCAGGCCUCUUAUUGCAACGCAAAUGAAAUUACCUAAGGCUUUUAUCACAUUCUCCUUGCAGCUCUCAUUUGCAUCACUAAUAAAGCAUCAAAAGAGCCUGUAAGAUCAAGUCACUGAGGUGACAAAGAACAAUUGUUCAUUAUAUAUUGUAUUUGUUUGAAAGGAACGCGCAGCAUACUCUUGGUGUAUUUGACUGCACUGUAAAAUAUCGACCACUCAGUUUUUUGUUUUUUUUUUGUAUAAUCUUUUUUCUCUUCUUUUCAGUAUCAUCUCGUUCAGUUUAUUUCCAUAUUAUAAAACAUUUGAGUGUUUCCCAGUAAUGACAAUAUUCAUAUGCUUAAGUGACUUAAAAUCUUCGCCAGGUUAUUGAUACAUAUUCAGCUUUUUUGAUAGAAGUCGUACCUUCAACGCAUAAUACCUGCUGCUCACUAUUAAAUAGCAGCCAUCUCGUGGAAAACAUUAGCUCCAAUGAUUGCCUUGCAUAGUUAUAUAAUGGCCAAACAGUAUGAAACAAGUGUACAGACCUGAUGAACCCUAUUGGGCAAACACUCUCAUGAUAAACUCAUUCCCAGAUGAUAAUGCCCCCAUUCUUACUCCUAAUAUUUUUCAGUAGUGUUUUGAUGAACACCAGGAUGAAGUCAAAGAAAUUCCAUGGUCUCUAAUCACUAGAUAUAAUCAUCAUGGGGUGUUCUGGAUCACAGACUGUGAAGUAGACAUCUACCGCCAUAUAUCAAAGACCUCUUCUCUCUCUCUUCUCAAAGACCUCUUCUUAAAGAAUGGUUAAACACUCCAACACAAACCAUUCACCUCCUUUGAUGACAGCAUUCCAAGGAGGAAUAAAGCUGUUCUGGGAGCAGGAGUUCUCCUUAUUAGGUCCUUGAUAUUAAUAUUGUCAAAUAUUUCUGUCAUUUUGUCCAACCACUGUAUUUGGUCAUCUAAAAACCACCUUUAACCGUUUUGGUCACUUUGCACUCUUUUUCUGAUCUGUGGAACCGGCUACGUAAGUAAGUUUUGUGCCACCAGGUUCUAACUUUCUCAUCUAUCCAGUAAACUAUGAAUCAUAU